rnacentral:rRNA from 1 species
AGAGUUUGAUCCUGGCUCAGAUUGAACGCUGGCGGCAUGCCUUACACAUGCAAGUCGAACGGCAGCAUGAUCUAGCUUGCUAGAUUGAUGGCGAGUGGCGAACGGGUGAGUAAUACAUCGGAACGUGCCCUGUAGUGGGGGAUAACUAGUCGAAAGAUUAGCUAAUACCGCAUACGACCUGAGGGUGAAAGUGGGGGACCGCAAGGCCUCAUGCUAUAGGAGCGGCCGAUGUCUGAUUAGCUAGUUGGUGAGGUAAAGGCUCACCAAGGCGACGAUCAGUAGCUGGUCUGAGAGGACGAUCAGCCACACUGGGACUGAGACACGGCCCAGACUCCUACGGGAGGCAGCAGUGGGGAAUUUUGGACAAUGGGCGAAAGCCUGAUCCAGCAAUGCCGCGUGUGUGAAGAAGGCCUUCGGGUUGUAAAGCACUUUUGUCCGGAAAGAAAUGGCUCUGGUUAAUACCUGGGGUCGAUGACGGUACCGGAAGAAUAAGGACCGGCUA